UACGGAGGGGGCUAGCGUUGUUCGGAAUUACUGGGCGUAAAGCGCACGUAGGCGGCUUUGUAAGUUAGAGGUGAAAGCCCGGAGCUCAACUCCGGAACUGCCUUUAAGACUGCAUCGCUAGAAUCAUGGAGAGGUCAGUGGAAUUCCGAGUGUAGAGGUGAAAUUCGUAGAUAUUCGGAAGAACACCAGUGGCGAAGGCGACUGACUGGACAUGUAUUGACGCUGAGGUGCGAAAGCGUGGGGAGCAAACAGG
rnacentral:rRNA from 1 species